UUCUAGGACCAAUCAGACUGCUGCAGUUUGGAUCCUAUUCAACUCAGUACAUAACAAAUACAUUUGUCCAAAAACCAGAAGCCUUUUUGUUAGGUAUAAUAGGUGAAGAGAUACCAAGAGAGGAUAAAAGACUUUUUAUGUCUGCAACGACGGCAGGGAGAAUGCUACAACCCAGAGAUGGAAGGAAGGAGAAGCACCAACCAAAGAAGAAUGGCAGGUGAAACUGAUGGAGUACGCAGAGAUGGCAAAACUGACAGGGAAGCUCAGAAACCAGGAAGAUCAAGUAUUUUCUAAAGACUGGAGUAAAUUUGUAAUUUAUUUAAAAGACCACUGUAAACAGUUAAAAUCUUUGGCAGGGAUGUAAUGACAUUUGUAAUGUGGAAUUAUUUGUGGUAAUUAUGGUUAUAUGAUAAAUGGAUAAGGGUAAAACAUGCAGUAAACUUAAAUCUAAAUAUGGAACCCAUGGAGGGAGG
rnacentral:lncRNA from 1 species